GACGAACGCUGGCGGCGUGCUUAACACAUGCCAGUCGAACGGAAAGGCCCUGCUUUUGUGGGGUGCUCGAGUGGCGAACGGGUGAGUAACACGUGAGUAACCUGCCCUUGACUUUGUGAUAACUUCAGGAAACUGGGGCUAAUACCGGAUAGGAGCUCCUGCUGCAUGGUGGGGGUUGGAAAGUUUCGGCGGUUGGGGAUGGACUCGCGGCUUAUCAGCUUGUUAGUGGGGUAGUUGCUUACCAAGGCUUUGACGGGUAGCCGGCCUGAGAGGGUGACCGGCCACAUUGGGACUGAGAUACGGCCCAGACUCCUACGGGAGGCAGCAGUGGGGAAUAUUGCACAAUGGGCGGAAGCCUGAUGCAGCAACGCCGCGUGCGGGAUGACGGCCUUCGGGUUGUAAACCGCUUUCGCCUGUGACGAAGCGUGAGUGACGGUAAUGGGUAAAGAAGCACCGGCUAACUACGUG
rnacentral:rRNA from 1 species